GAUGAUUCUACAGUUCCAGGUAUUCUGUUAUACAACGUGACAGAUGAACAAGACCAGGUUGAUAUCGGAACACCACAGACUACUAGGCUGGUUCAUCUGGCAUUGAUAGAGGCUGGGCUGGCUCAACUGGCUGACUCGAGUGAGCUAAGCAUUGAUGGUUCAGAGGUAUAAACGGACUUCCCCAAGAAUUGACAACAUUUCUUAGUUAAGUCUCAACUCUUUGUCGCCUGGUAUGCAUACAUCAAAGAGGGAAGUCUAUCUUCAGUUUUCUGGACGAGUGCAAUUCUUCCAGUCCUCUACAUCCAAGAGGGAAGUCUAUCUUCAGUUUUCUGGACGAGUGCAAUUCUUCCAGUCCUCUACAUCCAAGAGGGAAGUCUAUCUUCAGUUUUCUGGACGAGUGCAAUUCUUCCAGUCCUCUACAUCCAAGAGGGAAGUCUAUCUUCAGUUUUCUGGACGAGUGCAUAUUCUUCCAGUCCUCUAGUUUUCAAGAAACAAAAGAGAAAAGUUCUCCACCACAACGUGCGCUUAAUGUAAUUUUUUUGUUAAUUUAUGUUUUUAAUUAGCAAAAGUAAUUAAGCACCAUUUAGACCAUGUAAUGCCAAACAAACAUGAUUAGCGUCCGGCUUUUCUGAAAGAAUGGUAAGAGGAGGCUGACACAUUUUUGAAAGACAACCUGAUGAGCUGGGUUUUUUUCAAUUGUUCAAACAUUUUUGUUUUGCCUGUUAUAUCACUUGUUUACAAACGAGCCACAGAGCAUGGCGUUCCUGCAGGCACAAUUUGUACAUAGCUCAAUGUGUGACAAGUCUGACAUACUAUCUGAUAUUGAGAUUGUACUGUCUAAUUUAUAUCCAUCUUUGGUCUCAAAAUUUGUACAGCUGCAAUUAUGUUUUGAGAAAAUAGAAUUAGCUGUUGGAAACAACUUAUCAACCCAAUGGGCCGACGACGGUAUGAAUGGAAAAAAAUAGUUAAUGACCUGACGGCUCGACCCUAGCAGAUUCUUUUUUUGUUAGCCUUCGAGAAAGACUCUGCUAGGGUCGAAACAUCAGGCCCUAACUAUUUCUUGCAAUUAUUUUCGGUUGUGGAUUUAUGUGGAAAUUGUUACACAAAAUACGUGUAUCUUGCCUGCCAGAAAAACUAUGGAAUGUACUGAGUGACCUUAUUUGUAAUCAGAGGUUUACUUAGUCUACACUACAUGCCCUUCGUAUUUAAAUGUUUAAUUCAGGCAACAUUGUUUGUGUUGUUAAUUGUGGAAUAUUGAACCAACCUUUUUUGAAAAAUUACGAAAUUUUUACAAGCAUAAAUAUUGAUUUAGAUUAUUUGUGCCUGCAUUAAAGCCAUUGGACCCUUUCGGUAAACAGUAUUUCCCAAGGCCCACACUUCGUGUAUCACAACUUCUAUAUCGAAUAACAAACUUGUGGAAAUGUAGGCUCAAUCGGCCAUCGGAGUCGGGAGAUAAUAACGGGUAAACCCAUCCUUGUAGCCGCACGUUUCGCCGUGUCCAUGACAUGUGUUUAAAAUAAAUCCGUAAUUCUCGCUAUCGAGAAUUGAUAUUGUUUU